GGUCAGUAGGUUGGUCGUGCCACCGGUACGUACUGGUCUCACUGAUUCCUCCUUCCUGAAGAACCGUAAUGCCAUUAAUUUGGUGUUGCGGGGAAACAGGACUGUUACUUUGAAAAAAUUAGAGUGUUUAAGGCAAGCUAACGCUUGAAUACAUUAGCAUGGAAUAAUGAAAUAGGACGAUCGAUCCUAUUUUGUUGGUUUCUAGGAUUGACGUA
rnacentral:rRNA from 1 species